GUAGGGUGCAAGCGUUAAUCGGAAUUACUGGGGCGAAAGCGUGCGCAGGCGGUUUUGUAAGUCUGACGUGAAAUCCCCGGGCUCAACCUGGGAAUUGCGUUGGAGACUGCAAGGCUAGAAUCUGGCAGAGGGGGGUAGAAUUCCACGUGUAGCAGUGAAAUGCGUAGAUAUGUGGAGGAACACCGAUGGCGAAGGCAGCCCCCUGGGCUAAGAUUGACGCUCAUGCACGAAAGCGUGGGGAGCAAACAGGAUUAGAUACCCUGGUAGUCCACGCCCUAAACGAUGUCUACUAGUUGUCGGGUCUUAAUUGACUUGGUAACGCAGCUAACGCGUGAAGUAGACCGCCUGGGGAGUACGGUC
rnacentral:rRNA from 1 species